rnacentral:lncRNA from 1 species
CUGUCAUCCAUGGGAGGCAGCAGAUUGGAGCGGAGAGCCAGGCACUUGCUGGAUCAAGAAGAAAUAUAGCAAGUUAUUGGGAGAUGGCCCGUGUCCAAGGCAGCAGGGUCUCCAGUUUCUCUCCACUGCCAAAAAAUUGACAAUUUUAAGAGAAGCCCUUUCCCUGUGCAUGUUGGAGGCCAGGGAAGGAUCUGAAUGGCCAGCACACGUUCCACCUUUUCUUCGGCAGAUGUCAAGAACAGUGUCUCUGGGAUUCGUUCCCUCUGUCUGGUCGCCUGCUUGUGCUCAACUUGUCCAUCUGAUCAGACCACUUCUUUCUGCAGCAGAGAACAGCUUAUGGUGCUGAGGAGACCCUGUGGACUCCCACAUGGAGCAGCUGCAACAAAGUGCAUGCCCUCAACGUCUUUCUCAUUUCUUCCUUCCUUCUUC